rnacentral:rRNA from 1 species
CCAAUAGUGUAUAUUAGUGUUGUUGCGGUUAAAAAGCUCGUAGUUGAAUUUCGGGAUUGGGAUAUAUCGGUCGUGCCUUUAGGGGCAUGAAUCGGUGUGUGGCCAAUUCUCUCACCUUCUGGUGAAUUGGGAUGCUCUUGGGUGUUUCAAUGAACUAGGACUUUUACUUUGAAAAAAUUAGAGUGUUUAAAGCGGGCAUUUUUGCUUGAAUACGUUAGCAUGGAAUAAUAAAAUAGGACGAUGGUUCUAUUUUGUUGGUUUUAGGACCACGUAAUGAUUAAUAGGGAUAGUUGGGGGCAUUAGUAUUCAAUUGUCAGAGGUGAAAUUCUUGGAUUUAUUGAGGACUAACUACUGCGAAAGCAUUUGCCAAGGAUGUUUUCAUUAAUCAAGAACGAAAGUUAAGGGAUCAAAGACGAUUUAUGUACGUCGUAGUCUUAACCAUAAACUAUGCCGACUAGGAAUCAGACAAAGUUAAUUUUUUAACGACUUGUUUGGUACCUUACG